rnacentral:rRNA from 1 species
AUUGAACGCUGGCGGCAGGCCUAACACAUGCAAGUCGAGCGGAUGAAGGGAGCUUGCUCCUGGAUUCAGCGGCGGACGGGUGAGUAAUGCCUAGGAAUCUGCCUGGUAGUGGGGGAUAACGUCCGGAAACGGGCGCUAAUACCGCAUACGUCCUGAGGGAGAAAGUGGGGGAUCUUCGGACCUCACGCUAUCAGAUGAGCCUAGGUCGGAUUAGCUAGUUGGUGGGGUAAAGGCCUACCAAGGCGACGAUCCGUAACUGGUCUGAGAGGAUGAUCAGUCACACUGGAACUGAGACACGGUCCAGACUCCUACGGGAGGCAGCAGUGGGGAAUAUUGGACAAUGGGCGAAAGCCUGAUCCAGCCAUGCCGCGUGUGUGAAGAAGGUCUUCGGAUUGUAAAGCACUUUAAGUUGGGAGGAGGGGCAGUAAGUUAAUACCCUGCUGUUUUGACGUUACCAACAGAAUAAGCACCGGCUAACUUCGUG